rnacentral:rRNA from 1 species
UGCGCAGGCGGAAUGGUAAGUCAGUGGUGAAAUCCUACAGCUUAACUGUAGAACUGCCAUUGAUACUGUCAUUCUUGAGUACAUAUGAAGUGGGCGGAAUGUGUCAUGUAGCGGUGAAAUGCAUAGAUAUGACACAGAACACCGAUAGCGAAGGCAGCUCACUAAAUUGUAACUGACGCUCAUGCACGAAAGCGUGGGGAGCAAACAGGAUUAGAUACCCUGGUAGUC